AGAGUUUGAUCCUGGCUCAGGACGAACGCUGGCGGCGCGCCUAACACAUGCAAGUCGAACGAGAGAUGAGGAGCUUGCUCUUCAAAUCGAGUGGCGAACGGGUGAGUAACGCGUGAGGAACCUGCCUCAAAGAGGGGGACAACAGUUGGAAACGACUGCUAAUACCGCAUAAGCCCACGGCUCGGCAUCGAGCAGAGGGAAAAGGAGUGAUCCGCUUUGAGAUGGCCUCGCGUCCGAUUAGCUAGUUGGUGAGGUAACGGCCCACCAAGGCGACGAUCGGUAGCCGGACUGAGAGGUUGAACGGCCACAUUGGGACUGAGACACGGCCCAGACUCCUACGGGAGGCAGCAGUGGGGAAUAUUGCACAAUGGGGGAAACCCUGAUGCAGCGACGCCGCGUGGAGGAAGAAGGUCUUCGGAUUGUAAACUCCUGUUGUUGAGGAAGAUAAUGACGGUACUCAACAAGGACGUGACGGCUAACUACGUGCCAGCAGCCGCGGUAAAACGUAGGUCACAAGCGUUGUCCGGAAUUACUGGGUGUAAAGGGAGCGCAGGCGGGAGAACAAGUUGGAAGUGAAAUCCAUGGGCUCAACCCAUGAACUGCUUUCAAAACUGUUUUUCUUGAGUAGUGCAGAGGUAGGCGGAAUUCCCGGUGUAGCGGUGGAAUGCGUAGAUAUCGGGAGGAACACCAGUGGCGAAGGCGGCCUACUGGGCACCAACUGACGCUGAGGCUCGAAAGUGUGGGUAGCAAACAGGAUUAGAUACCCUGGUAGUCCACACCGUAAACGAUGAUUACUAGGUGUUGGAGGAUUGACCCCUUCAGUGCCGCAGUUAACACAAUAAGUUAUCCACCUGGGGAGUACGACCGCAAGGUUGAAACUCAAAGGAAUUGACGG
rnacentral:rRNA from 1 species